AAUCAACGCUGGCGGCGUGCCUAACACAUGCAAGUCGCACGAGAAAGGGACUUCGGUCCUGAGUAAAGUGGCGCACGGGUGAGUAACACGUGACUAAUCUACCUCCGAGUGGGGAAUAACUGAGGGAAACCUUAGCUAAUACCGCAUAACACUUACGAGUCAAAGCAGCAAUGCGCUUGGAGAGGAGGUCGCGGCAGAUUAGCUAGUUGGGCGGGGUAAGUGGCCCACCCAAGGCGAUGAUCUGUAUCCGGCCUGAGAGGGCGCACGGACACACUGGAACUAGAAACAACGGUCCAGACUCCUACGGGAGGCAGCAGUGGGGAAGUUUUGUCGCAAUAGGGGGAAACCCGUACGACGCAGCAACGCCGCGUGGAGGAUGAAGUCUCUUGGGACGUAAACUACCUUUCG
rnacentral:rRNA from 1 species